rnacentral:rRNA from 1 species
ACUCCUAGCGGGAGGCAGCAGUGGGGAAUUAUUGGACCAAUGGGGGAACCCUGAUCCAGCCAUGCCGCGUGUGUGAAGAAGGCCUUCGGGUUGUAAAGCACUUUCAGUGGGGAGGAAAGGUUGAUGGUUAAUACCUAUCAGCUGUGACGUUACCCACAGAAGAAGCACCGGCUAACUCCGUGCCAGCAGCCGCGGUAAUACGGAGGGUGCAAGCGUUAAUCGGAAUUACUGGGCGUAAAGCGUGCGCAGGCGGUCUGUUAAGCGAGAUGUGAAAGCCCCCGGGCUCAACCUGGGGAACUGCAUUUCGAACUGGCAGACUAGAGUCUUGUAGAGGGGGGUAGAAUUCCAGGUGUAGCGUGAAAUGCGUAGAGAUCUGGAGGAAUACCGGUGGCGAAGGCGGCCCCCCUGGACAAAGACUGACGCUCAGGCACGAAAAGCGUGGGGGAGCAAACAGGAUUAGAUA